CCUGCGGGUGGCUGCAGUGGGGAAUAUUGCACAAUGGGCGCAAGCCUGAUGCAGCCAUGCCGCGUGUGUGAAGAAGGCCUUCGGGUUGUAAAGCACUUUCAGCGGGGAGGAAGGCGUUAAGGUUAAUAACCUUGUCGAUUGACGUUACCCGCAGAAGAAGCACCGGCUAACUCCGUGCCAGCAGCCGCGGUAAUACGGAGGGUGCAAGCGUUAAUCGGAAUUACUGGGCGUAAAGCGCACGCAGGCGGUCUGUCAAGUCGGAUGUGAAAUCCCCGGGCUCAACCUGGGAACUGCAUUCGAAACUGGCAGGCUAGAGUCUUGUAGAGGGGGGUAGAAUUCCAGGUGUAGCGGUGAAAUGCGUAGAGAUCUGGAGGAAUACCGGUGGCGAAGGCGGCCCCCUGAACAAAGACUGACGCUCAGGUGCGAAAGCGUGGGGAGCAAACAGGAUUAGAUACCCUUGUAGUC
rnacentral:rRNA from 1 species